ACCCUGCUGCUCGCCGCCGCCGUGGUCUGCGCGGCAGCUGCAGCAGAAGCAGAUGAUCUGUUGGUGGAGCUCCAGCUGCAGCAAGACCCGUGCCCGCAGGUGGAAGACAUCGUGCGCUCUGCCGUGCAGAAGGCGGUCCGCCGGAAUAUCCAGCUCACCGCCGGCCUCCUCCGCAUCUUCUUCCACGACUGCUUCCCGCAGGUUGUGCAGUGCUUUCGAUCCGUUAGUUAAUAAUUCUCUGCAAGCAAAAGACUUAAUUCCGAAAAUGCAUGAAAAAAAUACACUACGACAUACAGGGCUGCGACGCGUCGGUCCUCCUUGCCGGCGAGCGUGACGUUCCUCCGAACGCCGGGUCGCUGCAGCCGGAGGCGCUGAAGCUGAUCGAGGACAUCCGCCGGGAGGUGCACGGCAAGUGCGGCGGGCCCAAGGUGUCGUGCGCCGACAUCCUCGCGCUCGCCACGCGGGACGCCGUCGUCGCCGCCGGCCUGCCCUUCUUCCCCAUAACCCGGGGCCGCAUGGACACCCGCACGCCCGCUCCCGACGUGCUCGGGAACCUCCCGUCGCCAUCCGACUCGGUGGGCAAUCUCCUCGACAUGUUCCGCCGCAAGGGCCUCGGCGACGACCCGCGCGUCCUGGUGGCCCUCUCCGGCGGGCACACCGUCGGCAAGACCAGCUGCGGCCUGAUCAGGGGGAACGACGAUUUCUCCAGGGCCCUGGCGGCCAACUGCUCCGCCAGCCGGAGCAGGAAGCAGAGCCUGGACGUGAUCACGCCGGACGCCUUCGACAACAGGUACUUCGUGGCGCUGAGGAACGGCAAGGGGGUGCUCGGGUCCGACCAGGGGCUGGCCGACCACCCCAGCACCAGGGACAUUGUUAGGGAUUUCGCCAACGACCAGCAGCUCUUCUUCACACAGUUCCGCGCCUCCAUGACCAAGCUCAGCCAGCUGAAAGCGCCCGCGGGUGGAAGCAGGUUCGAGAUCCGCCUCGACUGCUCCAAGCCCAACGCCCGUGUCGGAGACGAAGACGAUGCCGCCGCCGGCC
rnacentral:lncRNA from 1 species